rnacentral:rRNA from 1 species
GAGUUUGAUCGUGGCUCAGAUUGAACGCUGGCGGCAGGCUUAACACAUGCAAGUCGAGCGGGGGAGAUUGCUUCGGUAAUUGACCUAGCGGCGGACGGGUGAGUAAUACUUAGGAAUCUGCCUAUUAAUGGGGGACAACAUCUCGAAAGGGAUGCUAAUACCGCAUACGCCCUACGGGGAAAGCAGGGGAUCACUUGUGACCUUGCGUUAAUAGAUGAGCCUAAGUCGGAUUAGCUAGUUGGUGGGGUAAAGGCCUACCAAGGCGACGAUCUGUAGCG